rnacentral:lncRNA from 1 species
AGUUGGGAGACUUGGGACAAGUCACUCUUACCUCGCUCAGAGGCAAUCUAGAUGUACUUCACACUCUUAAUUAUGGCUUUCUGAUCAAAAUUUAAGGGUGGAUAAUGCGAAGGGUCCACCAUGUGAUUCUCAAGGGAAGAUUGUCCUUGAGUUCAAGUGAUAGAAUGUGUCUGGUCAUCCUUGUAGGGGACACUCAAUUUGUGGGG